UGUGCACCACCCUCUCACCCAAACGAAGGCAGCUGGCCCUGAAGUUCUCUGAGCUUGAGGACAAAAAAAGACCUCUGUGAGUUGUCAGGCUCUGUUACAGUCUGGGUCAGCAGACAAGAGUCCCAGGGCUCGGCCGUCUUCUCUAGGAGAGAAAAUAUUCGUGCCAUAUAGCGUGUUCUAAGAGUUCUCACCAGAAGCCCAGAAAGUUCUGUAUUUACUCAGCAUUCAAGGGAAAACAGACCCUGUAUUUUUGGGAUUCCUGAAAGGUGACCAGGUGAGAGCAAAGCCCAACUUCCUGGGGAAAAGCUCUCAGCGCAGUGAAUGCUACAUUCGGAGGUAGGAAGGCUCUGGAUGUGAGUCUUCAUGUUUGUUUUUUGUUUUUUGUUUUUUUUUCUCUAAAAUUACCAAAAAAGAGGAAUAUCCACAGAAGCAGAAGUAGGAAUGGGGAAGGAGGGGACAAGUUUAGACCAAGCUCUUCUGUGACCUCACUUCUGCUUUUGAAGUCCCACAGCUCUAUAAGGCUACCUUCAUCCCCAAACAGGAACUGCUGCAAGGCCCGCAGCAGCCAUGGGUGAGUGGCUCUGGAGAUGGGGUAAGUGGCCUACGCACCCCAGAGGAACAGCUGGCAGCCUAGUCUUCGGGCAGCAGCUCCACUCAGCCCUGGGGAAUGACAGAUACAGACAACCAGUUAUGCCAGUGAAGUGCCCUAAACUAGAGAUAGCUGGGGCGCUGUCAGCCACCUUAACAGUGAGAAGAAGCAACAGGAUGAAGUGGAAACAGCGUCACACAGAUGGAGCCUCGAAUCCCAGCAUGCUAGCCAUGUGUCAUCUUCAUAGUCUUCCUAACGUCUGUGGCCUCAGAUGCCACAUCAGUAAAUGGCACACCAUAUGUGAUUUAGGCUAAGGGCCUGAGUGUAAUAGUUGCUUAGGAAUUAUAGCCCUUCUUAAAUAAAUGGAGAAACAGUCCAUGUUCAUGGAUUGGAAGCCUCAAUGUUAUUAAGAUGGCAAAUCUCCCCAGAGUGACCUGUAGAUGCAACACAAUCCCUAUCAAAAUCCCAGCAGGCUUUUCACUCCUUUUUAAUAAGGACACCGGUCAUAUUGUAUUAAGGUCCAUCCUAAUGACCUCAUCUUAACUCAGCUACAUCUGCAAACACCUUAAUCCAAAUAUGACAUUCUGAGGUACUGGGAUUAGGGCUUCAAAAUAUCUUUUUGGGGGAACACAAGUCAACCCAUAACAGAUAAUUAACACAAAUACAUGGAAAACUAUCCCAUAUUCAUGGAUUGGAAGUACUAAUAGUAUUUAAAUGUCCAUAUUACCCAGAGGUCUAGAGAUUCAAUGCAAUCCCUAUCAAAAUACCCAUAAUGUUCUUCACAGAAGUGGGAGUAAACAAUCUUAAAAUUCAUGUGGAAAUGCAAAAGACCCUGGAUAGCCAAAGCAAUCGAGUAAAAGGAACAAAGCUGGAGGUCUCACCACAACACAUGGUUAAGGAGUUAAAAUGGGACAUUUGAAACUUUAUAUUACUACAGAGUUUAAUGCAAGAUUCAUGCAGAUUUUUAAAAGAUAAACCACGACACGUCACAGGAAUAUCUAGCUUUUGAUAUGUCCCCAUGCCUUCCACAGGUACCCUCCUACAGCUCCCCUCCACUGUCCCCUCCCUAAGGGGGUACAAUUCAGCUCUUUUGCCCUAAAGAGCAUUUGGAUGGAAAGUUUGAGAUGUCCUAACAUGUUCUGAGAUCUUGUUACUGGUGGCGAAUCCAUACAGGUCUGCAGCAACCUCAAUUCUUGCCUCUUCAGAACACAGAAUUCAACCAAGGGACCUAAGGCAGAAGGAGAGACCAAGGCAAGUUUAGAGCUGGAGUGAAAAUUUCUUGAAAAGUUUUAGGAUAGGAGUGAAAGGAAGUUAAGUACACUUGGGAGAGGGCCAAGAGGGCGGCUUGAGAGACCAAGUGCAUUGUUUGACCUUUGACUUGGGGUUUAAUACUUCAGCAUGCUUCCAGGGGCUUGCGGUCCUUCUCCUCUGAUUCUUCCCUUGGGUGGGCUGUCCGCAUGCGCGGUGGCCUGCCAGCGCUCAGGAGGGGCCUCAAGUGCAGUGCGUUUACCAAAAUUGUGCACAAGCUCACUUGAGGCGCUCUUUCCUUACCAGUCGAGUGUUACUAGAGGAAGGUCGUAUACCAGUUAAACUCCACCAGUUUGCCUCUUAGUGUGCGUGCUUAGCCUACUCGCCCACCUCCUGAGAUCUUAUCGGGAAGCUGCUCAUCACCAGUUUCAGGUAUUUUCUGUCUAUUGGGAGACAACAUUUCCCAGGCACUUGCUACAACCAAUUAUUAUUCUAGACAGUUAACAACUGCCUGACCAUCACUAGAUGGUCGCCUGACAUUCCUGGUGUGUGCAGGGGGCCCUCUCCUGCCCUGCUUGUGUCUGACUAGCUACCUACUGUAACAAUCUCAUGAAAUAACUUUUGUCAAACAACUGGAACAAUUUAUCGUAGAUGGAAAUACCUAUUACUGUCUACAGCUUGUCAGGGAUGGGUGCAUGUGUUUGAAACUCAGAGAGGAUGUUUUACCUCAGGAGAUUACCUAAUGAUGUAUAAACCCUUUUACUCACAUGGCCUAGUGAUAUGAUUUCAUAGUCUAAGAUUUUCAAUGAGUUAAAAAAGCUGAUGCAUUUUAUUUUGUCUUCCAUGAAUCCUUGCUUCUCUAGCAUAUAGAUUUUUUUUUUUUUUAGCUCAUGUAAGAACAGGGGUCGGGUGCAGUGGC
rnacentral:lncRNA from 1 species